UGAACGCUGGCGGCGUGCCUAAUACAUGCACGUCGAGCGCACGGACGAGAAGCUUGCUUCUCUGAUGUUAGCGGCGGACGGGUGAGUAACACGUGGAUAACCUACCUAUAAGACUGGGAUAACUUCGGGAAACCGGAGCUAAUACCGGAUAAUAUUUUGAACCGCAUGGUUCAAAAGUGAAAGACGGUCUUGCUGUCACUUAUAGAUGGAUCCGCGCUGCAUUAGCUAGUUGGUAAGGUAACGGCUUACCAAGGCAACGAUGCAUAGCCGACCUGAGAGGGUGAUCGGCCACACUGGAACUGAGACACGGUCCAGACUCCUACGGGAGGCAGCAGUAGGGAAUCUUCCGCAAUGGGCGAAAGCCUGACGGAGCAACGCCGCGUGAGUGAUGAAGGUCUUCGGAUCGUAAAACUCUGUUAUUAGGGAAGAACAUAUGUGUAAGUAACUGUGCACAUCUUGACGGUACCUAAUCAGAAAGCCACGGCUAACUACGUG
rnacentral:rRNA from 1 species